AACUUGAGAGUUUGAUCCUGGCUCAGAACGAACGCUGGCGGCAGGCUUAACACAUGCAAGUCGAGCGCCCCUCCUUCAAGCAAGCUUGAAGGUCCUUUGGCCGAAGGCCAGGAAAGAGGAUCAAGAAAGCCGAGCUUUCUUGAUGGAGGGGAGCGGCAGACGGGUGAGUAACGCGUGGGAAUCUACCUAGCUCUACGGAAUAACCCAGGGAAACUUGGACUAAUACCGUAUACGUCCGAGAGGAGAAAGAUUUAUCGGAGUUAGAUGAGCCCGCGUUGGAUUAGCUAGUUGGUGGGGUAAAGGCCUACCAAGGCGACGAUCCAUAGCUGGUCUGAGAGGAUGAUCAGCCACACUGGGACUGAGACACGGCCCAGACUCCUACGGGAGGCAGCAGUGGGGAAUAUUGGACAAUGGGCGCAAGCCUGAUCCAGCCAUGCCGCGUGAGUGAUGACGGCCUUAGGGUUGUAAAGCUCUUUCAACGGUGAAGAUAAUGACGGUAACCGUAGAAGAAGCCCCGGCUAACUUCGUGCCAGCAGCCGCGGUAAUACGAAGGGGGCUAGCGUUGUUCGGAAUUACUGGGCGUAAAGCGCACGUAGGCGGAUACUUAAGUCA
rnacentral:rRNA from 1 species